rnacentral:rRNA from 1 species
AUUAGCUUGUUGGUGAGGUAACAGCUCACCAAGGCAGCGAUGACUAGGGGGUCUGAGAGGAUGAUCCCCCACACUGGUACUGAGACACGGACCAGACUCCUACGGGAGGCAGCAGUGAGGAAUAUUGGGCAAUGGACGCAAGUCUGACCCAGCCAUGCCGCGUGCAGGAUGACUGCCCUAUGGGUUGUAAACUGCUUUUUUGCGGGAAGAACGUUCUCUACGUGUAGAGAUUUGACGGUACCGUAAGAAUAAGCAUCGGCUAACUCCGUGCCAGCAGCCGCGGUAAUGCGGAGGAUGCAAGCGUUAUCCGGAUUCAUUGGGUUUAAAGGGUGCGUAGGCGGAAUAUUAAGUCAGUGGUGAAAUCCUGCAGCUUAACUGUAGAACUGCCAUUGAUACUGGUAAUCUUAAAUGUAGUUGAGGUGGGCGGAAUGUGUAAUGUAGCGGUGAAAUGCUUAGAUAUUACACAGAACACCGAUUGCGAAGGCAGCUCACUAAACUAUGAUUGACGCUGAGGCACGAAAGCGUGGGGAGCAAACAGGAUUAGAUACCCUGGUAGUCCACGCCGU